rnacentral:rRNA from 1 species
ACGCUCGACACCUACGAGGCAGCAGUGGGGAAUAUUGCACAAUGGGGGAAACCCUGAUGCAGCGACGCCGCGUGAGCGAAGAAGUAUUUCGGUAUGUAAAGCUCUAUCAGCAGGGAAGAAAAUGACGGUACCUGACUAAGAAGCCCCGGCUAACUACGUGCCAACAGCCGCGGUAAUCUGAGCGGGCUGGCAAGGC